GCCGAGCGCGCGUGGGCCGGCUUGCGGGCCAAGUUCCAGGCCGCCCGCCGCGCGAAAAAUCUUUUUCUUUUUUCCUUUUGUGCAAUUUUUUUUUUUGCUGAAUGUUUGAAAUUGUGUAGAAAAUUGUAGGUUGAUCCAAAAAUCAUGGAAAUUUUUGUGUAUAUUCCCUGAAAUAAGUAGGACACAAGAAAAAUAGUGGAUUCUGUUUUCUGGUAGUUUACAUGUCUGUAAAAAUUUGCCCUUUUAAUUAGCAAAUGAAACUUGUAUGAUUUAUAAUAAUUUAUUUGUAUGUCCAAAAAUCACCAAAAAUUGUGG
rnacentral:lncRNA from 1 species